GACUACUGGGGUAUCUAAGCCUGUUUGCUCCCCACGCUUUCGCAUCUCAGCGUCAGUAAUGGUCCAGAGAGUCGCCUUCGCCACUGUUGUUCCUCCUGAUAUCUACGAAUUUCACCUCUACACCAGGAAUUCCACUCUCCCCUCCCAUACUCAAGCCUGACAGUAUUCGGUGCACUUCCUGAGUUGAACCCAGGGAUUUCACACCGAACUUAUCAAACAGCCUACAUGCGCUUUACGCCCAGUAAUUCCGAAUAACGCUUGCACCCUCUGUAUUACCGCGGCUGCUGGCACAGAGUUAGCCGGUGCUUUUUCUGCAGGUACCGUCAUUUUGUUCUUCCCUGCUAAAAGAGGUUUACAACCCGAAGGCCUUCAUCCCUCACGCGGCGUUGCUGCGUCAGGAUUUCUCCCAUUGCGCAAAAUUCCCCACUGCUGCCUCCCGUAGG
rnacentral:rRNA from 1 species